CAGCCGCCGCGGUAAUACGUAGGGUCCGAGCGUUGUCCGGAAUUACUGGGCGUAAAGAGCUCGUAGGUGGUUUGUCGCGUUGUUCGUGAAAACUCACAGCUCAACUGUGGGCGUGCGGGCGAUACGGGCAGACUAGAGUACUGCAGGGGAGACUGGAAUUCCUGGUGUAGCGGUGGAAUGCGCAGAUAUCAGGAGGAACACCGGUGGCGAAGGCGGGUCUCUGGGCAGUAACUGACGCUGAGGAGCGAAAGCGUGGGGAGCGAACAGGAUUAGAUACCCCUGUAGUCCCUGUCUCUUAUAC
rnacentral:rRNA from 1 species